rfam:Triticum urartu cultivar G1812 contig534697, whole genome shotgun sequence.
GCCCUCUCCGAUGGUGAUAUCAUGUCCCACAUCCUCGCCGGCCUUGAUCUCGACUACAACCCCGUCGUCUCCGCCCUUGCUGCCCAUGUGGAACCAGUCACGGUGCAAGAGC